rnacentral:lncRNA from 1 species
AGUUCUUAAAGAGUUCUAAGGGCAGAAGGGUCCCUAUUGUUGAGGCUCUGGGGACAUCUCCCAGGGAACAGAGCUCUUCUGACCACAACACCUCUAAUCUUCUUCUCUGACUGCCAUAACUAUUGUGCAUUCUAGAAGCAGUUUGGGGAUCUGCUGGGAAACUUCAUUGUACCCUCUUCUCCAAGAUGCACAACAGUGAAGAGAGAGUCCAUCUUAUCGUCUUGCCUCCUGAAGAGAAACUCGGAUAACAGGGGUAAUGCCUCCUCUCUUCCCAGGGAUGUGCUAAAGCCAGCUCAUACAGAUUCUACUGGAAAAGACUAGACACUACAAAAGGCAACAUUUGAAGACUCAUUGGUCUUGAUCUCUUCAGAGAACCUUCUAAAGUCUAUCAGGAGUGGACAAAACUCUUUUGCUUCAUAGGGUGGAGGCUCUGAGUAUCCUGUUCUACUUGGAGACUGGGCCUCCACAGUACCUCAGCCUCAGGCUACAUUCAGUGAGGUUUAGAAACUUAUUGACAAUAGCAGAGGCCAGAGGUAGAAGACAUGUCAACAAAGAGCCAUGAGUAUAAAACACCAGAGAUGAACCAUUAUCCUACAAAAGGAAAAAGGAUUUAUCCCUUUGGCUAUCCGAGACUACAUUCAGAUGACAACUACAUCAGAGAAGAUUAAGGUCAAACAGCCCCACCAAGAGACAAGCUGACAGCUGCUGCCACCUGGAACAGAGUCCAACUCCUAGAAAAAGGGCCCCGAGUAAAUUGUCACAGUGGUCACCUGGAGAGUGAAGCCAAGGAGUGUGACUACAGCUCAAGAUCCAUCUCCUACUGGGACAUCACCCUCCUCUGCAAACAAAUAGGUACAAAAAGGCUUUCUAAGACUCCACAAGAACAUCUGCCUCUACCCCACCCCAAACAGAGUGUCCAGAACCAAUCAACUUUAAGAAGAUAG